rnacentral:rRNA from 1 species
AAGUCGUAACAAGGUUUCCGUAGGUGAACCUGCGGAAGGAUCAUUACAGAGAUCGUGCCCUCACGGGUAGACCUCCCACCCUUUGUGUUUAUAUACUAUGUUGCUUCGGCGGGCCGCCGCGAGGCGCUGGCUUCGGCCGGUUCGCGCCCGUCAGAGGACCCAAAACCCUAAUUGUCAGUGUCGUCUGAGUACUAUAUAAUAGUUAAAACUUUCAACAACGGAUCUCUUGGUUCUGGCAUCGAUGAAGAACGCAGCGAAAUGCGAUAAGUAAUGUGAAUUGCAGAAUUCAGUGAAUCAUCGAAUCUUUGAACGCACAUUGCGCCCCCUGGUAUUCCGGGGGGCAUGCCUGUUCGAGCGUCAUUGCAAAACUCAAGCUCUGCUUGGUAUUGGGCUUCGCCGGUCACAUGGCGGGCCUUAAAGCUAGUGGCGGUGCCCCGCGGCCCUGAGCGCAGUAAAUCACUCGCUACGGUUCCGCGGUGCGCUGGCCAGCAACCCCCCAAACUUACAAUGGUUGACCUCGGAUCAGGUAGGGAUACCCGCUGAACUUAAGCAUAUCAAUAAGCGGAGGAAAAGAAACCAACAGGGAUUGCCCCAGUAACGGCGAGUGAAGCGGCAAAAGCUCAAAUUUGAAAUCUGGCCCUUUUAGGGUCCGAGUUGUAAUUUGUAGAAGAUGUUUCGGGUGUGGCCCCGGUCUAAGUUCCCUGGAACGGGACGUCAUAGAGGGUGAGAAUCCCGUAUGUGACUGGGUGCCCACGCCCAUGUGAAACUCUUUCGGCGAGUCGAGUUGUUUGGGAAUGCAGCUCAAAAUGGGUGGUAUAUUUCAUCUAAAGCUAAAUAUUGGCCAGAGACCGAUAGCGCACAAGUAGAGUGAUCGAAAGAUGAAAAGCACUUUGGAAAGAGAGUUAAACAGUACGUGAAAUUGUUGAAAGGGAAGCGCUUGCAAUCAGACUUGCGCCUAGGUGAUCAUCCGGGGUUCUCCCCGGUGCACUCGCCUGGGCUCAGGCCAGCAUCGGUUCUCGCGGUUGGAUAGAGGUCCUGGGAACGUGGCCCCUCUCGGGGGGUGUUAUAGCCCAGGGCGCAAUGCAGCCUGCGGGGACCGAGGACCGCGCUUCGGCUAGGAUGCUGGCGUAAUGGUUGUAAGCGACC